rnacentral:rRNA from 1 species
CCUACGGGAGGCAGCAGUGGGGAAUAUUGCACAAUGGGGGAAACCCUGAUGCAGCGACGCCGCGUGAGUGAAGAAGUAUCUCGGUAUGUAAAGCUCUAUCAGCAGGGAAGAAAAUGACGGUACCUGACUAAGAAGCACCGGCUAACUACGUGCCAGCAGCCGUGGCUAUACGUAGGGGGCCAGCGUUAUCCGGAUUUACUGGGUGUAAAGGGAGCGUAGACGGCGCUGCAAGUCCGGAGUGAAAGCCUAUGGCUUAACCAUGGUACUGCUGUGGAAACUGUGGGUCUUGAGUGCGGGAGGGGCAGGCGGAAUUCCUAGUGUAGCGGUGAAAUGCGUAGAUAUUGGGAGGAACACCGGCGGCGAAGGCGGCCUGCUGGACCGUAACUGACGUUGAGGCUCGAAAGCGUGGGGAGCGAACAGGAUUAGAUACCCCUGUAGUC